GACGAACGCUGGCGGCGUGCUUAACACAUGCAAGUCGAACGGUGAAGGGAUCAGCUUGCUGGUUCUGGAUGAGUGGCGAACGGGUGAGUAACACGUGAGUAACCUGCCCCCUUCUUCUGGAUAACCGCAUGAAAGUGUGGCUAAUACGGGAUAUUCUGCGCCUGCUGCAUGGUGGGUGUGGGAAAGAUAUUGUUUCGGUGGGGGAUGGGCUCGCGGCCUAUCAGCUUGUUGGUGGGGUGAUGGCCUACCAAGGCGGUGACGGGUAGCCGGCCUGAGAGGGUGGACGGUCACACUGGGACUGGGACACGGCCCAGACUCCUACGGGAGGCAGCAGUGGGGAAUAUUGCACAAUGGGCGCAAGCCUGAUGCAGCGACGCCGCGUGAGGGAUGGAGGCCUUCGGGUUGUGAACCUCUUUCGCCAGUGAAGCAGGCCUGUCCCUUGUGGGUGGGUUGACGGUAGCUGGAGAAGAAGCGCCGGCUAACUACGUG
rnacentral:rRNA from 1 species